UACUACAAUGGUCGGGACAAAGGGCAGCGAACCUGCGAAGGGAAGCUAAUCUCAGAAACCCGGUCCCAGUUCAGAUUGCUCUCUGCAACUCGAGAGCAUGAAGGAGGAAUCGCUAGUAAUCGCCGGUCAGCAUACGGCGGUGAAUCCGUUCCCGGGCCUUGUACACACCGCCCGUCACACCAUGGAAGUUGGCCACGCCCGAAGUCGUUACCCUAACCCUUAGGGGAGGGGGAUGCCGAAGGCAGGGCUGAUGACUGGGGUGAAGUCGUAACAAGGUAGCCGUA
rnacentral:rRNA from 1 species